CAGUAGCCGCGGUAAUACGUAGGGGGCAAGCGUUAUCCGGAAUUACUGGGUGUAAAGGGAGCGUAGACGGUUAAACAAGUCUGAAGUGAAAUGCCGGGGCUCAACCCCGGAGCUGCUUUGGGAACUGUAGAACUGGAGUGUCGGAGGGGUAAGCGGAAUUCCCAGUGUAGCGGUGAAAUGCGUAGAUAUUGGGAGGAACACCGGCGGCGAAGGCGGCUUACUGGACGACAACUGACGUUGAGGCUCGAAGGCGUGGGUAGCAAACUGGAUUAGAUACCCCGGUAGUCCCUGUCUCUUAUAC
rnacentral:rRNA from 1 species